rnacentral:lncRNA from 1 species
AGAUAAAUCCUUCCGGAUCACGGGGCUGCCACGGGAGUGGCUUCCACCACACCAUCUCCUGUCCUGGGUGUUGUGGGGAGAUGAGUCUGGAUCCUACCUGGAUUCUGCCUCCAAGCUGGGGGAAGAAAGCUCCCAUGUUGUGAGGCAUAAAAAGGCCCACAUGUCAAAGAACUACAGCCUGCCAGCGACCACGUGACUGAGCUUGGAGGUGGAUCAUCCCUCAGGGAAGCCUUGAGAUGACAGCAGGCUGGGAGGGAUGCUCAGCCAGGACCAUGCAGCCAUGCUGCUCCGGCAUUCCUGAACCACAGAUGCUGUGAGAUGACAUUUUUUUCCCUCUACAUGUGUCAGCACUUCCCAGAUGUGAUGAUGGUAUUUGAAAGAGCAUGAUCUGGAAAUCCUGAGCCGUGCUGCCACAAGAAAAUGGAUGCACAGAGGACAAGGCCAGGCAGCGCAGGUCUUCAUUACACUGAGACUUUGCCUGAGUCCCAUGGUGCCCCAGUGCCCUGGCCUGGGCACAUCAGCACUGCCUUCUGUCCAGGCCCCAUGAGUCUCAGAUGGUGGACCCUGGUGACGGAAGGCUGGGUAGAUGCCAUGGACCUUUCCAUAGGUCAUAGCCACAGCUGAGCACUUGGUGUCUUACUACUCAGUGGAGAGGAGAAGUGUGCUGAAGGGUGGUAAGAGAGUGUGUCCAGGGGCCCAGACCAGAGUGGGCCAUGCCUCAUCUAGAGAGCAAGCAUCUUCCAGAAAGGAGAGCCCUUGGGUCCUUUUACAGAAGCAAUCAGAAAAACAUCGGGAAUCUCCCAGAAGACUGAAUGUAAGAGGACGAAGGGUCCGGGCACAGUGGCUCAUUCCUGUAAUCCCAGAACUUUGGGAGACUGAGGUGAGUGGAUCACUUGAGGUCAGGAGUUCGAGACCAGCCUGAACAACAUGGUGAAACCCCAUCUCUACUAAAAAUACAAUAUUAGCUGGGCAUAGUGGCGCAUGCCUGUAAUCCCAGCUACUCAGGAGGCUGAGGCAGGAGAAUCGCUUGAACCCAGGAGGAGGAGGUUGCAGUGAGCCGAGAUUGCAUCACCGCAUUCCAGCCUGGGCAACAAAGCAAGACUUCAUCACACACACACACACACACACACACACACACACACACACACAAACGAAACAACAACAACAACAAAACCAAAAAAAAAGAAAAAGAAAA